AGGGCACCACCAGGAGUGGAGCCUGCGGCUUAAUUUGACUCAACACGGGAAAUCUCACCAGGCCCGGACACUGGAAGGAUUGACAGAUUGAGAGCUCUUUCUCGAUUCGGUGGGUGGUGGUGCAUGGCCGUUCUUAGUUGGUGGAGUGAUUUGUCUGGUUAAUUCCGAUAACGAACGAGACUCUAGCCUACUAAACAGAUCGUCGGCUUACAAACGCCGACGAGACUUCUUAGAGGGACAGGCGGUGAUUCAACCGCACGAAACAGAGCAAUAACAGGUCUGUGAUGCCCUUAGAUGUUCUGGGCCGCACGCGCGCUACACUGAAGGGAUCAGCGUGUCUUCCCUUCCCGAGAGGGACGGGUAACCCGCUGAACCCCCUUCGUGGUAGGGAUCGGGGCUUGCAAUUAUUCCCCGUGAACCAGGAAUUCCCAGUAAGCGCAAGUCAUAAGCUUGUGUUGAUUACGUCCCUGCCCUUUGUACACACCGCCCGUCGCUACUACCGAUUGAACGUUUUAGUGA
rnacentral:rRNA from 1 species